rnacentral:rRNA from 1 species
UUGAACGCUGGCGGCAGGCCUAACACAUGCAAGUCGAACGGUAACAGGAAACAGCUUGCUGUUUCGCUGACGAGUGGCGGACGGGUGAGUAAUGUCUGGGAAACUGCCUGAUGGAGGGGGAUAACUACUGGAAACGGUAGCUAAUACCGCAUAAUGUCGCAAGACCAAAGAGGGGGACCUUCGGGCCUCUUGCCAUCGGAUGUGCCCAGAUGGGAUUAGCUAGUAGGUGGGGUAACGGCUCACCUAGGCGACGAUCCCUAGCUGGUCUGAGAGGAUGACCAGCCACACUGGAACUGAGACACGGUCCAGACUCCUACGGGAGGCAGCAGUGGGGAAUAUUGCACAAUGGGCGCAAGCCUGAUGCAGCCAUGCCGCGUGUAUGAAGAAGGCCUUCGGGUUGUAAAGUACUUUCAGCGGGGAGGAAGGGAGUAAAGUUAAUACCUUUGCUCAUUGACGUUACCCGCAGAAGAAGCACCGGCUAACUCCGUGCCAGCAGCCGCGGUAAUACGGAGGGUGCAAGCGUUAAUCGGAAUUACUGGGCGUAAAGCGCACGCAGGCGGUUUGUUAAGUCAGAUGUGAAAUCCCCGGGCUCAACCUGGGAACUGCAUCUGAUACUGGCAAGCUUGAGUCUCGUAGAGGGGGGUAGAAUUCCAGGUGUAGCGGUGAAAUGCGUAGAGAUCUGGAGGAAUACCGGUGGCGAAGGCGGCCCCCUGGACGAAGACUGACGCUCAGGUGCGAAAGCGUGGGGAGCAAACAGGAUUAGAUACCCUGGUAGUCCACGCCGUAAACGAUGUCGACUUGGAGGUUGUGCCCUUGAGGCGUGGCUUCCGGAGCUAACGCGUUAAGUCGACCGCCUGGGGAGUACGGCCGCAAGGUUAAAACUCAAAUGAAUUGACGGGGGCCCGCACAAGCGGUGGAGCAUGUGGUUUAAUUCGAUGCAACGCGAAGAACCUUACCAGGUCUUGACAUCCUUUGACCACCUAAGAGAUUAGGCUUUCCCUUCGGGGACAAAGUGACAGGUGGUGCAUGGUUGUCGUCAGCUCGUGUCGUGAGAUGUUGGGUUAAGUCCCGCAACGAGCGCAACCCUUAUCCUUUGUUGCCAGCGGUCCGGCCGGGAACUCAAAGGAGACUGCCAGUGAUAAACUGGAGGAAGGUGGGGAUGACGUCAAGUCAUCAUGGCCCUUACGACCAGGGCUACACACGUGCUACAAUGGCGCAUACAAAGAGAAGCGACCUCGCGAGAGCAAGCGGACCUCAUAAAGUGCGUCGUAGUCCGGAUUGGAGUCUGCAACUCGACUCCAUGAAGUCGGAAUCGCUAGUAAUCGUGGAUCAGAAUGCCACGGUGAAUACGUUCCCGGGCCUUGUACACACCGCCCGUCACACCAUGGGAGUGGGUUGCAAAAGAAGUAGGUAGCUUAACCUUCGGGAGGGCGCUUACCACUUUGUGAUUCAUGACUGGGGUG